GUCCUAUUUACUUCCCUCUUAUUUUCAAGGGAAAUCGACAAUUUGUCAAACCCCCUUUUUUUCACCGGUCUAGGACAAACAUGAUGAAUUGACAUUUUCUUAUAAAAAAAUCAUUAAUAAAAUGCUAAAUUAUUUUCCUAAGAUCUAUUUUGUAACUGAAUCUGGGACUUAAUCAUUUCUUUAAAUGCCCGAGCAUACAGUUAUAUUUUUUUAUUUUUAUUGUUUCAAUUGCCAUGUACAUGUAUGAGGCUAAAAAAGGUCACCAUUUGUAAGGAUAUGAAGGUGUUUUACAGAUAUUAGAAUAAUGUACAAAAAAGUAAGUCUGGAAGCAAGGCCAAAAAAAUAUAGAGGUGAUGAAGAAAAUAUUGAUUGAUUGUAUGUUGUUUAACGUCCAGUGGCAAAUAUUUGAUGCAUGUUGAGGACAAAUAUAAUAACAGAUCAAUUGGCAGGAAAAGAAAGUAUAAAGUGAAAUAGUAAAAGCAAUAAAAAAAAUCUAGAAAUAUAGAGAUAAAGAAACGAUGAUCUGACCCUCCCCCCUUUUAAAAAACAACAACCAAAAAAAAAAACACUCACACUCGCAUAUACCGUAUAUACAUCUCUAAAAAAUCUAAAAUUUUGGUUUCAUGGUGCCCCCCCAGAGAUCAAGGUUCUGGAUCCGCCCCUG
rnacentral:lncRNA from 1 species